rnacentral:rRNA from 1 species
GGGCCCGCACAAGCGGUGGAGCAUGUGGUUUAAUUCGAUGAUACGCGAGGAACCUUACCAGGGCUUAAAUGUAGUCUGACAGAUUUGGAAACAGAUUUUUCUUCGGACAGAUUACAAGGUGCUGCAUGGUUGUCGUCAGCUCGUGCCGUGAGGUGUCAGGUUAAGUCCUAUAACGAGCGCAACCCCUGUUGUUAGUUGCCAGCGAGUAAUGUCGGGAACUCUAGCAAGACUGCCGGUGCAAACCGUGAGGAAGGUGGGGAUGACGUCAAAUCAUCACGGCCCUUACGUCCUGGGCCACACACGUGCUACAAUGGUAGGUACAGAGAGCAGCCACGUCGCAAGGCGGAGCGAAUCUAUAAAACCUAUCACAGUUCGGAUCGGGGUCUGCAACUCGACCCCGUGAAGCUGGAAUCGCUAGUAAUCGCAUAUC